UACAGAGGGGCAAGCGUUAUUCGGAAUUAUUGGGCGUAAAGGGCGCGUAGGCGGCUUGGCAAGUGGAUGGUGAAAUCCCUCGGCUUAACCGAGGAACUGCCAUCCAGACUGCUUUGCUUGAGGCCGGGAGAGGUGAGUGGAAUUCCCAGUGUAGCGGUGAAAUGCGUAGAUAUUGGGAGGAACACCAGUGGCGAAGGCGGCUCACUGGACCGGUUCUGACGCUGAUGCGCGAAAGCGUGGGGAGCAAACGGGG
rnacentral:rRNA from 1 species